rnacentral:misc_RNA from 1 species
GGCAACUCGUCUUUCGGCUCUCGAGGCAACUCUUCUUGCUCCUGCGGCACUUGUUUCGCCCCCGGGGCACCUUGGCAUUAGGGACAUCCCGGUGUGGCGUGGACCAACAGCCAUCAGACGAGAAGGCAUAGGGAUCCUUGCAGUUGCACACUGCAUAGCAUCGUCACAUUCCAUCACUAGCCUUUAUGAGGACGUCUCCGUUGGUUGUUGCAACUGCUCCCAGGUCUCGACACCCAAUAGACUACGCCAUAAGAUCAAGGUGAUUGUACACAUAUCACUUCGUCACCAUGGGAACAUCAACAUCUGCAAGCAUGGCCACCAACACAGCUUGAGGAUGAUGUGUCUUGCAGGAGUAGAAUAGUGUUAUGGCAAGUGGAGCUGUUUGGAUAGAUAAGAAAAGAAUAUGUUAGAUUGUUUUGGUUAGUUAGGAUAAGAAAAAAUUUGGUUAGUUAGGAUAAGAAAAGAG